AGAUUGAACGCUGGCGGCGUGCCUAACACAUGCAAGUCGAGCGGUAACAGGUGUAGCAAUACAUGCUGACGAGCGGCGAACGGGUGAGUAAUGCUUCGGAAUCUACCUUAUGGUGGGGAAUAACUAGCCGAAAGGUUAGCUAAUACCGCAUACGUCCUACGGGAGAAAGCAGGGGAUCGCAAGACCUUGCGCCAAAAGAUGAGCCGAAGUCGGAUUAGCUAGUUGGUAGGGUAACGGCCUACCAAGGCGACGAUCCGUAGCUGGUCUGAGAGGACGACCAGCCACACUGGAACUGAGACACGGUCCAGACUCCGUACGGGAGGCAGCGAGUGGGAAUAUUGGACAAGUGGGGAAACCUGACUCAGCGACGCCGCGUGUGUGAAGAAGGCCUGGACGGGUUGUAAAGCUACGUUUAGGU
rnacentral:rRNA from 1 species